rnacentral:tRNA from 1 species
AGGGGUAUAGCUCAGUGGUAGAGUGCCUGCUUAGCGUGCCCAAGGUCAUGGGUUCAAUUCCCAGUACCUCCA